UCCCAAAAUUAAAUUUAGAUGGGGUUGGUUUGUCAUGUGUUAAAGCAUUGUUUAAAUUCAUUUUGACUGAGCUUAGGUUUAAAACAAGAUAUCAUAUUUUGCAUAAGGGCCAAGUCUAUAUGUUAGUAACUUCAAAUUUUAGUUAGUUAAGAAGUAGUUAUGGUUAGCGAGCAUGUGAAACACAUUAUUGUUUAUGUUAAGAACUAUUUAUAAACAUGAAAAAUAAUAUGGAAGAAGAAGAAGAAGAGAAAAGAAUAGACUUUGUAUUAUUCUAUUCACAAGUGUAUUUUACAUUGUAACAAAUGGGUCCUAUUUAUAGGACACAUUUAGG
rnacentral:lncRNA from 1 species